GGCCGCAUAGCUCAGUUGGUUAGAGCAUUGUACUAAUAAUGCAGUGGUCGACGGUUCGAGCCCGUCUGUGGUCA
rnacentral:tRNA from 1 species